rnacentral:lncRNA from 1 species
AUACGCAGUUCCCAAUCCAAAUAUUUAUAUAUAUCGUAUCAUUUAUUCAUGAUAAAAGUACACAUGAUUUUUUAUUUGUUCAACUAAAACUGAUACAAUACUGAAUUAGUAUUGCAUUUCAGACUGCAAAUCAUAGAACGGUCUGUGAGCCUUAUGAUUUUUAUCAUUACCACUAAUUGUGCUGGGGUUUGGUUUUUAGAGCCCUAAGGUCCUGUUUUAGGGAAUUCCAUGACCCAAUCUACACUAAAAUACUAAAAUAUUAUGUGAUGAAAUUAAUUUGAUGAUUGUUUAUUUGUGAAAUAAGUUAGUCGACUCAGUUUAAUCCAGCUUGUACUGAGCCAACCUUUAUUAUAUUCACAUUUAAACACACAAAGUAUUGAGGUCCAUGGUCAAAUAGGAAAUUGAGAAGGACCCGACGAAAUCCAUGAGGAAGAUGGCGAAUGAGAUGGAGACCGACCUCAAGCCCAUCAGGAUGUUAUAGUGUAAAGACAGAAAAUAAAUAUAAUUAUUUCCUAAUGACACAAUCAUCCGUGAUAUAUUUAAUAAUAUUUUUUUGUUUAUGAAGUUUCAAAUCCCAAUAUUUUAGCUUUGUCCUCACCCGAUGUGAACCCCCUGGACUACGCUCUCUGGAGCGUCUUGGAGUGCAGGACGAACAAGACUUCUCAACCGAAAGUCGAUCCCCUGAAGGCCCUGAUCACGGAGUAGUGGAACAAUUUGUCUUCAGAUUUCAUCAUUGCCAGCUGUGCUUCUGUUUGUCCCCGCAUUGAAGCCAUCCUUCGGAAUGGAGGGGGACAUAUUGAAUAAAAACACUAGCAAAUUGUUGAUUAAUCAACUUUUGUUUUAAAAGUUUGCCAUAAAAAUGGCACAAAAUGAAAAUAUGGAGAAGUGAAAAUGGCUUUUAAAACGUUUAAUUUUUGAGUCCUCACCCUGAAAAAUUCAAAAGGCAGACAGCUAAACCACACAACACUACUAACAACCUAUGUGAUUGCAUUGCGCCUCCUGUUCAUCUAAAGUCAAAUGAAAGUAUAUAUAAUAUGAGCCAGUGUGUAUUGACGAUACAGACAUCAAUUUCAAGAGACAAAUUUAUCCUGGGCGCGUUGCCCACUAAACUACGUCACUCCAUAUUGAACUGAAAUUAUUUGGUACUCAUUGUUCUAUCAGUUGAAGCAUCUUUAUCAUUGCAAGAAUCCCUUAUGAAUACUAAACUAUUUCAACUCAUGCUGGAGCCACGUCGAACACAUCUGUUUUAAGAGAGUGCAUAUGAAAUUGAUAAAAAAAUAUUAACGUUGUCUUAUGAAAAAACUACGACUAUUUAUAAAUGGGCUGGAAUUCCGUUAGUCCGACAUACGCAGUUUUUCCGCUAUAUAUACAAAUCUAAGGGGUUUUUAAGGGAAAAGUUGACAGAAACUUAAGAUGUCUAACCUGAGAUCCGCCAUAACUUUUUUGAUGUGCACAAUUUCUUUUAUGAGUGAGUGAUUUGAAAUUUCCUUUUUGAAUUUUUUUUUCGUUUGAUUUAAUUUUUUAUGAAUAAAUAUGAAUAUUUGAAA